rnacentral:snoRNA from 2 species
AGCCUAUGAAGGUAUAGGAGUAGUGGGCAGAAGAGAUUUCCAAAAAAAAUUUAUUCUGAGUUU